rnacentral:pre_miRNA from 1 species
GAUGUACUCCCUCUGUUCCAAAUUACUCGUCGCGGAAAUGGAUGUAUCUAAAACUAAAAUACAUCUAGAUACAUCCAUUUCUGCGACGAGUAAUUCGGAACGGAAGGAGUAUAUA